rnacentral:rRNA from 1 species
GUAACCUGGUUGAUCCUGCCAGUAGUCAUAUGCUUGUCUCAAAGAUUAAGCCAUGCAUGUCUAAGUAUAAAUGGAUUAUACAGUGAAACUGCGAAUGGCUCAUUAAAUCAGUUAUAGUUUAUUUGAUAAUACUUUUUACUUGGAUAACCGUAAUAAUUUUAGAGCUAAUACAUGCGUGAAAGUGCGACUUUUUG